rnacentral:misc_RNA from 1 species
AGGGAUCAUUACCGAGUGAGGGCCCCCGGCCCGACCUCCAACCCUUUGUUGACCAACACCUGUUGCCUCGGGGGCGACCCGGCCUUGGUGCCGGGGUCCCCGGUGGACCAUUAACGCUGUAUCUGUACGUCGGAGUAUCGAGCGAAUCAAUUAAAACUUUUAACAACGGAUCUCUUGGUUCUG